UGCACUCACUACUGUGAGUCGCUCUGGAUAAGAGAGUCUGCUAAAUGACUGAGC
rfam:Salmo salar isolate Sally breed double haploid chromosome ssa06, whole genome shotgun sequence.